rfam:Otolemur garnettii contig147663, whole genome shotgun sequence.
GCCGGGUGUUGUGGCGGGCGCCUGUAGUCCCAGCUACUUGGGAGGCUGAGGCAAGAGAAUCGCUUAAGCCCAAGAGCUGGAGGCUGCUGUGAGCUGUGACAGCACAGCACUCUACCGAGGGCAAUAAAGUCAGACUAUGUCUCUACCAAAAAAAAAAAAAAAAGACAGAGUCUCACUUUAUCACCCUUAGCAGAGUGCUGUGGCGUCACAGCUCAUAGCAGCCUCCAAGUCCUGGGCUUAGGCUAUUCUCUUGCCUCAG